rnacentral:rRNA from 1 species
UGGGGAAUUUUGGACAAUGGGCGAAAGCCUGAUCCAGCAAUGCCGCGUGUGUGAAGAAGGCCUUCGGGUUGUAAAGCACUUUUGUCCGGAAAGAAAUGGCUCUGGUUAAUACCUGGGGUCGAUGACGGUACCGGAAGAAUAAGGACCGGCUAACUACGUGCCAGCAGCCGCGGUAAUACGUAGGGUCCAAGCGUUAAUCGGAAUUACUGGGCGUAAAGCGUGCGCAGGCGGUUGUGCAAGACCGAUGUGAAAUCCCCGAGCUUAACUUGGGAAUUGCAUUGGUGACUGCACGGCUAGAGUGUGUCAGAGGGGGGUAGAAUUCCACGUGUAGCAGUGAAAUGCGUAGAGAUGUGGAGGAAUACCGAUGGCGAAGGCAGCCCCCUGGGAUAACACUGACGCUCAUGCACGAAAGCGUGGGGAGCAAACAGGAUUAGAUACCCUGGUAGUCCACGCCCUAAACGAUGUCAACUAGUUGUUGGGAUUCAUUUCCUUAGUAACGUAGCUAACGCGUGAAGUUGACCGCCUGGGGAGUACGGUCGCAAGAUUAAAAGCUUAAAGUG